GUAUUUUACAGCUAAAGGAAGCAGAGAUGGUGGUGCCUAUCAGCUUCUCAUUGCUGUGACAAUAUACUUGUGGAAAACAGGAGAAAAGAUUUUGGGAGGAUUCAGAGUUUCGGUCAAUAAUCAGCAGGCUUCAUUGCUGUUAAUCCUAUAGCAAGGCAGAAACUUGGCAGAAGGGUGUGGUGGAGGAAAGGUGCUGUCCUCCUGACAGCCAGGAAGCAGAGAGAGAAAAAAGGGUGAGGACUCCCCAAGAACCUCCCUUUAACUAGGUCUCACUUCCUAUAUUUCUGUCACUUCUCAAUAGUCCAUUCAGCUAUGAGCCCAACAGUGGAUUAAUCCAUUGAUGAGGUCAGAGCCCCAUGAUCCAGUCACUUCCCCAAAGUCCCACUUCUGAACAUUACUGCAUUGGGGACCAAAUCUUCAACAUAGGAGCCUCUAGGAACAUUGCAGAUCCUAACCAUAACAGUGGCCAACUUUCCCUGGACACAUCUUAGUGUCUAUUGUCCACCCCUAUAUAACCUUAUUUCACCUGCUUCAUGGGAGUACACAGGGUUUGCAGUUGAGGAUUUUAAGAGUAAAACAUUUGUGAGUACUCUAUCACUCACUUCCAGGGCCCCUAAAUGCCUAUUCUCAUCAUGGAACCUUGCUCACAGUCAUCUAUUCCCCAGCUCCUGUCAUCUUGGGUGGUUUUAACAUUGUACAUUGGCUUCUACCUUCCUCAACCUCCUUACACCUUAUCAAUGUUCAACUUCCACAUUCUAGCUGUGGCCUCAACUCUGACCCAUUCAUAGUCACAUUUCUGAUUUUCUUUCUAUAAAAUAAGACUAGUCCUAAAAUGAUAAGGAAAAAAUAAAUUUUUUACAGAAAGAACCUUUAAUAUGUUUUAUUAGUUAUCUAAGCUGUUGUAGUUAGGGAUUUUGUUUAUUGUUAUGUUAUAAUAGUGGAAGAAACCAGUUUUAGUCGUUAGGGAGCCAGACCUGUAUGUCUUCCAGACUGUUAAAAGAUAAUAUUCACUGAUACUUGCAAAAGCACUGUUCAGGAUU
rnacentral:lncRNA from 1 species